GCUGGGUAUGAAGAUACACACCUGUAAUCCCAGUUGAAGCUGAGGAGGGCUGAGGCCAGCAGAUGUCUUGAAUGUGGGAGUUCUGAGCUACAGUGGGCUAAAGAUGAUUGAUUAGGUAUCCACAAUAACCUCAGCAUCCAUAUGGUAAGCUGCCAAGGAGGGACACACCAAGUUGCCUAAGGAGAAGUGACUGAGCCCAGGUCAUAAAUGGAGCAGAUCAAAGCUCUUGUGCUGAGUUGUAAUGGGAAUGGGGACUAUGAAUAGUUGCUACCUGGGCGAGAUGGGAGGACCCAGUCUUU
rnacentral:SRP_RNA from 1 species